rnacentral:lncRNA from 8 species
CCACCGUCCAAUCUGUAGCAACUGCAUUUCUGACACCUUGUAGAAUGCCCCAAAGAAUUCAGGCUGUUCUGUAGGCAAAGGGGGGUCCGCCCGGAACUAGAUGGAUGUACCUAAUAAACUGUCCGGCGAGUGUAUAACUACAGUACACUUACAGUAAGGAUAGCUGUGGCUUUAAAGUGAAACCCUUAGAAACUACUGGGUCAGUGCAAACCUUAGCAAUGUGUGUGUGUGUCCUCUUCACUUCCACAUGCCUUCUAAAUUACAUCGUAUUGAAUUAAUAAAAUGCACCCUUUUUUGAGCAUUUAUAGCCUUAUGCUAAUUCUACAUUUUAGUACAUCAUCUUGCACAGUGAUAUAUGAAAAUGUGUCUGAACCAAUCAGAUUAGCAAGGUGCUCUCUUGCUGCAGACACUGCUACAUUCAUUUGACUGUUUCCAAGCCUGCUGACAUGAAAUCCAAAGCUUUCUCAUACCAUAACAAUCUAUCAUAUGCAGUGUUCUUUUAUUCAGGAAUGGCAGAUGGCCAGAGACAGAUGCAUGUGAUAGAUUGUUAUGGUAUGAGAAAGCUUUGGAUUUCAUGUCAGCAGGCUUGGAAACAGUCAAAUGAAUGUAGCAGUGUCUGCAGCAAGAGAGCACCUUGCUAAUCUGAUUGGUUCAGACACAUUUUCAUAUAUCACUGUGCAAGAUGAUGUACUAAAAUGUAGAAUGUACAAUAUACAAGCUUUGAUUACAGGUCAGCAAAUAUCGGUCAGAAAAUAGAAAAUGAAGGUCAGAAAAUAUCAGUUAUGUAAAUAUGUGUAUUGACCAAGCAUGGUGUAUUGCUGAUAACUUUGUGUGUGCUGCUUCAACUUUCAGCACUACGCCACCUAUUGGUGUGAAAUAAGUAUUAUCAUGCGACAUCUGGUGAACUAGUACAGCUUCUAGUAGGAAAACGGUUUGUGUAGCAUAGAAAAUAAAACUACCUGGUUUACAAAUUAGCUGCCAUUUAUUCUUUCAGAAUUUCAAGUUAAGUAAAAUCCUCUUUCAUAACAAACUUAACAGAGAACAUUGGGAUAUUACAUGGAUAUAAAAGUUUUACAAAACAUAACUUUUUAGAACUACAUAUAAACUACAUAAAACAACAGCAUAACAUUAAAAUUGGUGUAUUAAACACCUUCAUUUUAUAUUUUCAAAGUUCUUUAACAUUUCUAAAAUGGGAUAAAAACCCUCUAAGAAAUGAUACUAUAAUUGGUGUUAGGAGAAAAGAUGUCGGCCUAAGAAUGACAUACUUCUCUCUCCAUAACACCACCACACUUAAGAGCCUUUUAAAACUAUUGCAGGUUUGAACUGUGCAACCUGCUUCUCAAUUUGAGAUUCUUUUUUAAGUCAGGAACUGACUGAAUC